UUGUGUGUAUAACUCCUAGAUGGUAGGAUCGCCUCACUAAGUAUUUGUGAUAAUACUUACGCAUCUCUUUCUUUUUUGGUGCAGGUAAAGAUAAAGUGUGAUCGUGGAAUCAUGGCAACGAAGAGAGGAUGAUUUAGGAACUCGUUUGGUUUAUUUUUGUGUUUUGGUUAUUGAAACCGGUUAGGGUUGUGUUAGGAUUGUUAGUCAUUCUUAGUUUUGUUGGUUGAAUUAUUUACUUAUUCAUAAAAUAGUAUUUUUGACUUGAGGUUUAAAUGUUGCUUUAUUGGUUGGUUUAAUUAAGUAUUUAUAGGAAUAUUUAAUUAUGUUUAAAAAAAAAAUGGGUUGGGUUGUUUCAAAUACAAUGUCAAAAAUCCUGCAAGUAGGUUUUCCGUGGCCGACAAUGUUUAAGGAUUGAUAUGUCUAU
rnacentral:sRNA from 1 species